UGACCUAAUUUAAACCUAAUUUAAAAGAUUAGGGUUUGUAAAAAAAAUGAAGUCUCCUAAACUGCUUUCUCUCUCCCCUUCGUUCCGCCUUUUACUCUCUAGUCUCUCGCUCUCCUUCUUCGCGUAGCCCUCCUGCUCAGCUCACUUGGGUCGUCUCCGGCCACCAGCCACAACGUAGCAUCCCGAGAUUACCGCAGCUCCGUUUCCAUCUUCCCUCUCUUCUCGGCGGCCUGCGAAUCAGGGGCGGAAUGCUCCGCUUGUUGUCCUUCGCGCGAUCACUCUGUCCAGCCUCGACGCACCGUUUCCGGCCGCAGACGGUGGAUACCGACCCCACCUGUGGUCUCGCGAACCCCACGAACCCCACGAACCCCCCAACAUCCCGAGUCCCCAACCUCCGUUAAGCCGUGCUGCCGAAAUACUCUGAUGAGCUCUGAGGCAUUCAUGGAGGGAAACGGCAGCUUGAUGGUCUCUUCUAUUUUGGAUAUCCUUCCGUCCUUUCGUCCUUUCGAGAAGAACCAAUUCCAUUGUUUUGAAUCCUAUGGAGCGUAAAUUUGUAGUCUUAGCAGCAUCUGUUGUUGGAGAAAGGGUUGUGACUUGUGUAGUUACACGCUGCACUUGAGCGUGCUGACAGAAACAUUCCUCCAUAGACGUUUAUCAUCAACAAGGUACAAAAAUAAACAAAAAUAAAAAAGUAAACUUUCUUUUUUCAAAAACACGGUCUCUACAUAAGACUUUUCCAAAAUAGUUUCUCCCAAAAGUUUUAGAUCUGAAAUCAACAUGAACAUGAAUCACCUCCAAAAAAUCCUAGAUCUCCUCCAUAAUCGACGUAUUCUCCAAACAACACCACUAAAGAUGUAGAAGUUUUUGUCGAACACCAUGAACGCCGGUGGAAAGUUUUUUGUCGAUCACCAUUAACGCCGGUAAGAAAUUUUGAUUCGAUAUUCAGUUAUGGCAGCGCGACCAACGAUCAGAGAUCUCUAUGAGAAGCCAACAAAAAAAGAUCAACAACUGAGAGGAGAUGCCCAUGAACAUUUACCCAAAAAGAUUGGGUUUUUCUUUACUUUCUUUUUUCUUUUUAGAAAAAUAAUAAAUCUGAUAUUAUUAAUUGUGUUUACUUUAAUUGUUUUCUAAUCUAUUAUUAUUAAUGUUAUUGAGUUGAUUCACAUAUAUUAGUUGUUUUUGUUAAUAUAUUGUUAUUGUUUUUCGGUGU